rnacentral:lncRNA from 1 species
CUUUUCUGAUGACAUUCUUGAACAUUCUUUACUGCUACCAACUUCCAGUGAUUCUUCCCCUUUCUUCUCCUCUUAGUUCUUCUCCUGCCUCUCCUGUAUCCAUUCCUUCUUCCCUUUUCAAUCAUGAUACUUCUCCUCCUGCUUUACCUGUCUCUCAGCCUGUUUCCUUACCCAGAAAAUCCACCAGACAACAUAUUCCCCCUCCUUACCUCAAAGACUAUGUUUGCCAACAU